rnacentral:rRNA from 1 species
GAACGCUAGCUACAGGCUUAACACAUGCAAGUCGCGGGGUAACAUCUGGGAGAGCUUGCUCUUCCAGGAUGACGACCGGCGCACGGGUGAGUAACGCGUAUCCAACCUGGCCCAUACCACGGGAUAGCCCGUCGAAAGGCGGAUUAAUACCGUAUGCUGUCAUUAAGAUGCAUAUAUUGAUGACGAAAGGAUUUGGCGGUUAUGGAUGGGGAUGCGUCCGAUUAGCUUGUUGGCGGGGUAACGGCCCACCAAGGCUACGAUCAGUAGGGGUUCUGAGAGGAAGGUCCCCCACAUUGGAACUGAGACACGGUCCAAACUCCUACGGGAGGCAGCAGUGAGGAAUAUUGGUCAAUGGGCGAGAGCCUGAACCAGCCAAGUAGCGUGCAGGAUGACGGCCCUAUGGGUUGUAAACUGCUUUUAUAAGGGAAUAAAGUGAGCCUCGUGAGGCUUUUUGCAUGUACCUUAUGAAUAAGGACCGGCUAAUUCCGUG